GAGUUUCCCAGUCACCAUAAAUGGAACAGUAUCAAGUUUCUGAACAUGGGAGGAAAAGAUGAUCACCUUCAGAAUAGUGAGAUGAAGAAACACUAAGAAGCUGCUACUUGCUUAAAGCUUCUACAGCUCAAGUGGCAGCAAGAGGAUUUAAACCUAGAGUUGUUGCGGUCAUACACCAGAGCACUUAAGGACUCCAGAGCGCUACGUGCUUCGACGCAGUCUGUCUUCCUCACUCUUGUA